UAAAAGGGAAGGGGGAUGGUAUCUUUUUUAAACGAGAAAUGAAAAUUUGAAGAUUUGGAUUUCUUUUAGCACGGAAAUUUCAGGUAGAAUGAUUUAGAUGUACAAUUAUUUUCUGGUUGAAAUACGUUGAAUUGUUUCGUAAAUGAUUACGUUCAGAGAGAUUGCUUGUUUAGGUAUAGGGAUUUUGAUAUUGUUAUCGUUUGCUCUAGACUUUUGAAAGGGAAAUAUGGACGUGAUAUGUUUGAUUUAUGAGGGAUGCUCGUCUUUAUUAGUGGUCAGGCUACAAGUUCAUGGAGAAUUUCAAGGGAAAUGAUCGUCCAGAAUACGAAUAGAUAUUUGCAUAAUUACACGUUUUAUUGUACCCUUUUGGUCAUGAGGGUAAGAUCGAAUUUAUCUCAUUGGCCCUCACCUGUCCUGCACGAUGCGGGCCGGGACAACUGACCACCUGUACAGUCCCAGCAACAAA